rnacentral:rRNA from 1 species
AAUCCAAGAAAAUAAUGCAAUCAUAGCUAGCGUACCUUAAACCGACACAGGUCCUCGGGUAGAGUAUACUAAGGUGACGGACUAAUCAAAUUUAAGGAACUCGGCAAACUGAUCUCGUACGUUCGACAAGAAGAGAUGCCUUUAUAUCAAAGAUAUAGGGGUGACACAGAAUUGGAGGGUGCAACUGUUUACCUAAAACACAGCAGCCUGCUAACACUAAUCGUGGUCGUAUAGGUUGUGAUUCCUGUCCUAUGUCAGAUGAUAAAGUGACUGGUUGUGUGUUAAUAGCAUAUAAUCGGAGCUUGAAGAACUGAUAAAUGACGGUCUUAACUAUAAGGAUCCUAAGGUAACGAAAUUCCUUGGCCGCUAAUUACGGUCCUGCAUGAAUGGAACAAUGAUGCCCUCGCUGUCUUAAAUUUGAGUCCGGUGAAAUUGAAUUAACCGUGCAGAUGCGGUUUACCACCAGUUAGACGGGAAGACCCUAUGCAGCUUUACUAUAGUCUGACAUUGUGUUUGUUUACCAGUUGUCACAGGUAUGAGGUAGUCGGUAUGACGCAAGUGAGAGACCUCAAUAACUCGUAAACGCACUUACCUCCCUCGAGGGAAAGUGUCAGAUGGGUAGUUUUACUGGGACGGUACCCUCCAAAAUAUCAUCGGAGGGGUCCAAUAGGUACACAUAGCUUAGACGGGGACUAAGUGAUCAUGAAUGAUCUAAAACAGCAUAAUGGCGUAAGUGUGCUAGACUGAAAGACUGACAGGUCGAUCAGAUACGUAAGUAGGGCAUAGUGAACCGAUAGUAUGUUAUGGUACAGCUAUCGUUCAACGGAUAAGUUACGCUAGGGAUAACAGGCUAAUAGC